rnacentral:rRNA from 1 species
AUUGAACGCUGGCGGCAGGCUUAACACAUGCAAGUCGAGCGGGGGAAGGUAGCUUGCUACCGGACCUAGCGGCGGACGGGUGAGUAAUGCUUAGGAAUCUGCCUAUUAGUGGGGGACAACAUCUCGAAAGGGAUGCUAAUACCGCAUACGUCCUACGGGAGAAAGCAGGGGAUCUUCGGACCUUGCGCUAAUAGAUGAGCCUAAGUCGGAUUAGCUAGUUGGUGGGGUAAAGGCCAACCAAGGCGACGAUCUGUAGCGGGUCUGAGAGGAUGAUCCGCCACACUGGGACUGAGACACGGCCCAGACUCCUACGGGAGGCAGCAGUGGGGAAUAUUGGACAAUGGGGGGAACCCUGAUCCAGCCAUGCCGCGUGUGUGAAGAAGGCCUUAUGGUUGUAGAGCACUUUAAGCGAGGAGGAGGCUACUCUAGUUAAUACCUAGGGAUAGUGGACGUUACUCGCAGAAUAAGCACCGGCUAACUCUGUGCCAGCCGCCGCGGUAA